rnacentral:tRNA from 1 species
GGGAAUGUGGCUUAGUGGUAAGGUGCUUGCCUAGCACGCAUGAAGCCCUGGGUUCAAUUCCUUAGUACCA